rnacentral:rRNA from 1 species
AUACGUAGGUGGCGAGCGUUGUCCGGAUUUACUGGGCGUAAAGGGAGCGUAGGUCGGAUUUUUUAAGUGAGAUGUGAAAUACUCGGGCUUAACCUGAGUGCUGCAUUUCAAACUGGAAGUCUAGAGUGCAGGAGAGGAGAAGGGAAUUCCAAGUGUAGCGGUAAAAUGCGCAGAUAUUUGGAGGAACACCGGUGGCGAAGGCGGCUUUCUGGACUGUAACUGACGCUGAGGCGCGAGAGCGUGGGGAGC